rnacentral:rRNA from 1 species
CCUACGGGAGGCAGCAGUGAGGAAUAUUGGUCAAUGGACGAGAGUCUGAACCAGCCAAGUAGCGUGAAGGAUGACUGCCCUAUGGGUUGUAAACUUCUUUUAUAUGGGAAUAAAACGUUCCACGUGUGGGAUUUUGUAUGUACCAUAUGAAUAAGGAUCGGCUAACUCCGUGCCAGCAGCCGCGGUAAUACGGAGGAUCCGAGCGUUAUCCGGAUUUAUUGGGUUUAAAGGGAGCGUAGGUGGAUUGUUAAGUCAGUUGUGAAAGUUUGCGGCUCAACCGUAAAAUUGCAGUUGAAACUGGCAGUCUUGAGUACAGUAGAGGUGGGCGGAAGUCGUGGUGUAGCGGUGAAAUGCUUAGAUAUCACGAAGAACUCCGAUUGCGAAGACAGUUCACUGGACUGCAACUGACACUGAGGCUCGAAAGUGUGGGUAUCAAACAGGAUUAGAUACCCCAGUAGUC